GAAAAAAUACCCGUACGCGUCUGCCUCCUCGCAUCGCCUCGACCCUGGCCUCUGCCUAGGCCGAGCCAACCCUAGCUGCCGCCGCACCACUCGCCGCCGCGGCCGACCUCAACCCACCCGCCGCCCCCGCCGACGUCAACCCGCCCGCCGCCCCGUCCACACCUCUUCCUGCUCGCCACCCCCGCCGCGGCGCUCGAGCGCAGCUUCUGGAUCAGGUCAACGCGGCGGCUCGACAGGCUGGGGACGAUGCGUCUGCUCGAUGCAAAACGGCGGCGGCGGGAUCCAGCGGGCGCGGGAGAAGGAGAGAUCCGGCGCGGCGGCGCGAAGUCCAUGCAAGUGGAGGCGGGCCUCCAUGGCUGGCAGGGAGAGCUCCAAGGUCAUGGCGGUGAUUCGAUUUUUCUGGUAGAGAAGAGAGACAGAGGAGGAUCCAGGGUGGAGGAGAGGUAGGAGAAGAAGGACGAGGAAGAUGGAAGGGUGCGGCAGGGGUGCAGCGGUGCGAGGGCACUGGUGCGCGUGAGGAGCGCCUCUCCUCGGGAGGAUCAGGGAGGAGCGAGUGAAACUCAAAUCGACUUCAGAGCAAGGUACUGGUGUAGAACUACGAAGAAGCAAGCUGACCAGAUGCACACGUACUAGCCGGCAACAACGAUGAAGGAAGCCAACCAGAUGUGCACAAAACUACACUACAUCAUGCCUAAUUGAAUCCUCCGGUACGUGUUCCAUUGGCUAAUAGACCAUGCUAGCUAGCUAGCAACCAUGUAAAUUCCCCACGCUUGAUUGAUUCCUUUGGGACUUUAUUAACUUCUAUAUGUUCUUCCCAUGAUUAUCUAGAUAAUGCUAACUGUUGAUAUUUCUUUCACGCAUACAUGGUUUUGCUUGGAGUUUUUCCACUGGCGACGUCUGAACUCUGAAUAUAUGAACUUAAGGAUAAAUCUUAUAGCAGAUCAAAAUCAUGGUCCACGCAAAAAGAAGAGACCAGAAUCAUGGUUGUGCUGAUUCCAUAGGGGCCUCAUGAUGGUUUGUGUUCUUUUAUUCAAAUGAAAAAACCAAGAUUAUUAUUGUAACUGUUACAGUUGUACUAGCAGGAUUAUCCUAGAAGCUGUGCCAAUUUUCCAUCAAUUGAUAACACUGUAAGGUAGUGAGUCAUCUUUCUAGACUUUACCAUGCCUAGAUUGGUUGACUUGGAUCACGUGUAUGUCUUACACUUUUAGACAAUUCUCACUUGCUAUGCUAAGCUCGAAUUUGAAGAUACAAGUUGAGGUGUGUCUUGGGACAGUGUGACUAAAAACCGAACCUUCAGUUUAUGCAAUCAGAAGAAAAGUGAAUGAUUUUUCAAUGAAAACAGAAUACUUCUGAGCAUAAGGAUGAAAAAGUGCAGCAACCGACUUGGCUUAUUGUUUUGGAAAUUGCAACCGGUGUUCUCCUUCUUGUUUUUGUGAUCACUAGUGUUGUUACUGCCUCCAGAAGCUUCAAUCUAAAGCCUUCUAUAAGAAUAUCAUCAUGGAGUAGAUCAAAAAGUUGGAGCAACGAGAUAACAGUACUGAUUGAUUCUGAUAUGCUGAAAAGUUUGCCAGAGUUGAGUCACUAGGAACUUGAAGUAGUGUGUUAGGAUUUUAGCAACAUAAUUGGCUCAACUCUGGAGACUAUAGUCUACAAAGAAACAAUGAAGGAUGGACCUGAGGUUUCUGUCAUGUCAUUAUGCGCCUUUGAAGGUCAUUGGACUAGCCAGCAUGAGCUCUUUUACCAAAACAAGGUUAUUGAUCUGGCAAGGUUGAAUCAUGAGAACAUAGCAAAGUUUCUGGGCUAUUGCAGAGAGAGUGACCCAUUCUCGAGGAUGUUAAUCUUUGAGUAAAAAUCAAAUGGGACCCUGUACGAGCACCCACACUCGGCCCAAUUCUCUUGGCUCAGAUGAAUGAAAAUAGCCAUCGACAUCGCCCAAGGUUUAAGGCUGACGACGUCGUCUAUUGAAGCCCCACCGGCGACACGACGGGACAGCUCCGACUUGUACGUGGGUGUGGGAACGCAGAUCCGCGUUGCCAGCUUACACAAGGCCAUGCUCAACGCGCCGACGCAGGGUUUAUCGCCCGUCUUUGUCAGAUAAGCAAAGCAAUCCACCUUCCUCUUUCUCAUCAGAUCCAUUUUAUUGUGAUAUUGCAUUUAAGUCAAUCAAUUUUUAUGAUUCUUUCAGUGUUAAAGAAAAUGGAAUUUACCUGAAUAAAUUGCGUGUAUAGAUAUGUAGAGGAUGAACUCAACAAGUGGAUCUUUCAAGGUUAAUUAGCUUUGCACAUUUUAUAAAAUAGAUGCAAUGGCAUAGCACCUUCAGUAUCAUGCUUGCACUCACAUGUUGUUCCAACAGCACUAUGAAUGCUGCCCAGAAUUGCCAUGCCUUCAGCUUUCGCUAUAAGUUCCUAUGAUGCUCCUUUUCAGGUGACUUUUCAUGUGAUUUCUACUUCUAAAAAUUAGAAAGUACCUUCAGAUCAAAGCAGUGGAUUUGUAGAUUUUCUGGGUAUUGGUGCUACUCCAUCUCCAUUUGGCUUACGGUCUUUGGUCACUGAUUCUGAGGUACGACGUUGUUUUACUUUUAUGUUAAAUCCCAUUUAGCUUGGCACCUCCAUUUAUUGGUUCGGACCGAGCAAAGAUCCUGUCGAGCAAUAUCACUGACUGGAAGCAUAAAUUUUCAAAUCAGUGAUGAGAUAAAUCUUGUGUACCGGUGCUUAGCAGCUAGCGAAGUGCGGCUGGUAUUUUUGGUCUGUAUGUAGGUAGCUUCCUGAUGUGUGUGGCUGUUGUUCAUUCACCACCUGAACUUAUUUCUGUUGGCUUCAUUUUAGUAAAGAUGGGGUGGGGAAAAAACUACACCCUAUAUAUGUAAGUUGACUGAAAAUAAUAAUAUGUUUCAGUAGCUAUAUUUCUCUGUUUCCUAACAUGGUUGUAGGCUAGAUGUUCGUGUUGGUUUGUCUUGCUGUAGAACUUGCCCCUAUUCAUUUGUUACACAUUUUGUGUAGCUAUCAAGGAAGAAAGUAAUGGACAUUCACAGGUCAGAGUCUCCCCAUCAGCAUUUGAUGGCAGGGACCGCUGCUUUACAGAAGAUGGAUGUGAAACCAAAAUCAUAUUCUACCAACUUUUAUUUAAUGCAUAUUAUCAUUUAGCAAUACGUUGGUUGUGCCUCCCCGUGAUCAAUGGAGAUCUUCUGUAGAUGUAUUGGAGUUUUGUCAUGCGUUAAACUUCUCAAUGGUUGACCAUGGAAAAUCUGUGUAGUUCUUAUUUUGUACAUAUGCUUCUGGUUUCAAGGAGAAUUCUUACUCCUUUUGGAAUUACCAUCUUUAAACAUUGUAGAUCCCAAUCUCUUGUGUAUUUGCAUCAAAUACUGUUUUUCGAAUGCUUAUCCUGUAUAAUACUAAACUCCCUCCCCCUACUUCUUCUGUCACAUGUGUUGUUCCUUCGUCAUCAGUGAGCUCCAGAAAACACAACUGCAAGCUUUCAGGUCCUAAAUGAGAAGGUAAGGAUGUACUUGAGCAGUAUGAGAAGACCGAGUUCCAUUAUCUCAGAAGCCAGAAGUUUCCCAUUAAUCUUUGGUUCUAAAAUUUGUUUAAGAAAAUGGUCAUUCUGCUAUUAGCACCACGAUUAUGUGUCAAUUGUAGAUUCUUAAUUGGUUAGAAUUAUUUUAUAUGUUUGAUUCCUUUGGUUCAUAUUUAUUCAACAACAAAAUAUUUUCGAGAUUGGUCAAUUUGAGGAUCAAACUUCAAACAUGUGAAUUGAUGUGGCAUCAAGCUAAAUCUAUUGAUACAUAGCUAUCCUUUUUUGCUUUGC